UACAGAGACUGCAAGCGUUAUUCGGAUUCACUGGGCGUAAAGGGCGCGUAGGCGGCAAUUCAAGUCAGCUGUGAAAUCUCCGGGCUUAACUCGGAACGGUCAAGUGAUACUGUCGGACUAGAGUACAGAAGGGGCAACUGGAAUUCUCGGUGUAGCGGUGAAAUGCGUAGAUAUCGAGAGGAACACCUGCGGCGAAGGCGGGUAGCUGGGCCGACACUGACGCUGAGGCGCGAAAGCCAGGGGAGCGAACGGG
rnacentral:rRNA from 1 species